rnacentral:rRNA from 1 species
UACGGAGGAUUCAAGCGUUAUCCGGAUUUAUUGGGUUUAAAGGGUGCGUAGGCGGUCGGAUAAGUUAGAGGUGAAAUCCCGAGGCUCAACUUCGGAAUUGCCUCUGAUACUGUUCGGCUAGAGAGUAGUUGCGGUAGGCGGAAUGUAUGGUGUAGCGGUGAAAUGCUUAGAGAUCAUACAGAACACCGAUUGCGAAGGCAGCUUACUAAGCUACUUCUGACGUUGAGGCACGAAAGCGUGGGGAGCAAACAGG